ensembl:ncRNA T01B6.5 ncRNA
AGCAUGAGGUAGUUGAUCUGUGGAUGUGGUGUCAAAAAAUAGGAGGUGAUAAAUUACAGCAUCCAGCUGAGAAGAAGUGUCGGAAUGGCUGCGAAGCUAUGGCGUUUUAAUGGAGAUGGAUGCUGCUACGUAUCCC